GCGGAAUCGCUAGUAAUCGCAGGUCAGCAUACUGCGGUGAAUACGUUCCCGGGCCUUGUACACACCGCCCGUCACACCAUGGAAGUUGGCCACGCCCGAAGCCGUUACUCCAACCCUUGUGGAGGAGGACGUCGAAGGUGGGGCUGAUGACUGGGGUGAAGUCGUAACAAGGUAUCCGUACCGGAAGGUGCGGAUGGAUCACCUCCUAA
rnacentral:rRNA from 1 species